rnacentral:lncRNA from 1 species
AUGAACAAAGCUAGUGGAGGUGAUGGAAUUCCAGUUGAGCUGUUUCAAAUCCUGGAAGAUGCUGCUGUGAAAGUGCUGCACUCAGUAUGCCAGCAAAUUUGGAAAACUCAGCAGUGGCCACCAGGCUGGAUAAGGUCAGUUUUCAUUCCAAUCCCAAAGAAAGGCAAUGCCAAAGAAUGCUCAAACUAUCACACUAUUGCACUCAUCUUGCACACUAGUAAAGUAAUGCUCAAAAUUCUCCAAGCCACGCUUCAGCAAUAUGUGAACCAUGAACUUCCUAAUGUUCAAGCUGGUUUUAGAAAAGGCAGAGAAACCAGAGAUCAAAUUGCCAACAUCAGCUGGAUCAUGGAAAAAGCAAAAGGGUUUCAGAAAAACAUCUAUUUCUGCUUUAUUGACUAUGCCAAAGCCUUUGACUGUGUGGAUCACAAUAAACUUCAAGAGAUGGGAAUACCAGACCACCUGACCUGCCUCUUGAGAAACCUGUAUGCAAGUCAGGAAGCAAGAGUUAGAACUGGACAUGGAACAACAGACUGGUUCCAAAUAGGAAAAGGAGUAUGUCAAGGCUGUAUAUUGUCACCCUGCUUAUUUGACCUAUGUGCAGAGUACACCAUGAGAAAUGCUGGGCUGGAAGAAGCACAAGUUGGAAUCGGGAUUGCUGGGAGAAAUAUCAAUAACCUCAGAUAUGCAGAUGACACCACCCUUCUGGCAGAAAGUGAAGAAGAACUAAAGAGCCUCUUGAUGAAAGUGAAAGAGAAGAGUGAAAAAGUUGGCUUAAAGCUCAACAUUCAGAAAACGAAGAUCAUGGCAUCCAGUCCCAUCACUUCAUGGCAAAUAGAUGGGGAAACAGUGGAAACAGUGGCUGACUUUAUAUUUUGGGGCUCCAAAAUCACUGCAGAUGGUGAUUUCAGCCAUGAAAUUAAAAGAUGCUUACUCCUUGGAAGAAAAGUUAUGACCAACCUAGACAGCAUAUUAAAAAGCACAGACAUUGCUUUGUCAACAAAGUUCCAUCUAGUCAAGGCUAUGGUUUUUCCAGUAGUCAUGUUUGGAUGUGAAAGUUGGACUGUGAACAAAGCUGAGCACUGA